GAUGAACGCUGACAGAAUGCUUAACACAUGCAAGUCUUUGGCGAAUCUGUGCUUGCACAGGCUAGCCAAGGCGGACGGGUGAGUAACGCGUAAAGAACUUGCCCUGCAGACAGGGAUAACAGACGGAAACGACUGAUAACACCUGAUACAGUUGCCGGCACGCAUGUGCCUGGCAAUGAAAAGAGAUGCUGCAGGAGAGCUUUGCGUCCUAUUAGCUUGUUGGUGAGGUGACGGCUCACCAAGGCGAUGAUAGGUAGCCGGCCUGAGAGGGUGAACGGCCACAAGGGGACUGAGAUACGGCCCUUACUCCUACGGGAGGCAGCAGUGGAGAAUAUUGGACAAUGGGGGCAACCCUGAUCCAGCAAUUCUGUGUGGACGAAGAAGGUUUUCGGAUUGUAAAGUGCUUUCAGCAGGGAAGAAGAAAGUGACGGUACCUGCAGAAGAAGCGACGGCUAAAUACGUG
rnacentral:rRNA from 1 species